UACGAAGGGGGCUAGCGUUGCUCGGAAUUACUGGGCGUAAAGCGCACGUAGGCGGCUUCUUAAGUCGGUGGUGAAAUCCUGGAGCUCAACUCCAGAACUGCCUUCGAUACUGGAGAGCUAGAGUCCGGAAGAGGUGAGUGGAACUGCGAGUGUAGAGGUGAAAUUCGUAGAUAUUCGCAAGAACACCAGUGGCGAAGGCGGCUCACUGGUCCGGUACUGACGCUGAGGUGCGAAAGCGUGGGGAGCAAACAGG
rnacentral:rRNA from 1 species